GGCCCCUGGACAAGACUGACGCUCAGUGCGAAAGCGUGGGGAGCAAACAGGAUUAGAUACCUGGUAGUCCACGCUGUAAACGAUGUCGAUUUGGAGGUUGUGCCCUUGAGGCGUGGCUUCCGGAGCUAACGCGUUAAAUCGACCGCUGGGGAGUACGGCCGCAAGGUUAAAACUCAAAUGAAUUGACGGGGGCCCGCACAAGCGGUGGAGCAUGUGGUUUAAUUCGAUGCAACGCGAAGAACCUUACCUACUCUUGACAUCCAGAGAACUUAGCAGAGAUGCUUUGGUGCCUUCGGGAACUCUGAGACAGGUGCUGCAUGGCUGUCGUCAGCUCGUGUUGUGAAAUGUUGGGUUAAGUCCCGCAACGAGCGCAACCCUUAUCCUUUGUUGCCAGCGGUUCGGCCGGGAACUCAAAGGAGACUGCCAGUGAUAAACUGGAGGAAGGUGGGGAUGACGUCAAGUCAUCAUGGCCCUUACGAGUAGGGCUACACACGUGCUACAAUGGCGUAUACAAAGAGAAGCGACCUCGCGAGAGCAAGCGGACCUCAUAAAGUACGUCGUAGUCCGGAUUGGAGUCUGCAACUCGACUCCAUGAAGUCGGAAUCGCUAGUAAUCGUAGAUCAGAAUGCUACGGUGAAUACGUUCCCGGGCCUUGUACACACCGCCCGUCACACCAUGGGAGUGGGUUGCAAAAGAAGUAGGUAGCUUAACCUUCGGGAGGGCGCUUACCACUUUGUGAUUCAUGACUGGGGUGAAGUCGUAACAAGGUAACCA
rnacentral:rRNA from 1 species